GUUUGACGAAGGAUAGACCUUAAUUCUCAUUC
ncrna:unclassified sequences S4-Flavobacteria ribosomal protein leader